rnacentral:rRNA from 1 species
AUGGUGGGCGUCGACAGAAGUGACUGUUUUCAGCACUUGGUGGACCGGGUGUGCCAACGUCUUAAAGGAUGGAAGGAGACAUUCCUCUCAAUACAGGGCAAGGAAAUAUUGUUGAAGUCAGUAGCCCAAGCAAUUCCUUCAUACGCAAUGUCAGUAUUUAAACUACCGAAAGGAAUAUGUAAAACAAUUACAGAUGAGAUAGCUGGAUUUUGGUGGGGCGAUGGUGAUGAGAAGAAGAAGAUGCACUAGUUUGCGUGGUGGAAGAUGUGCGCACCAAAGAAGAAAGGGGAGUUGGGGUUUAGGGACCUUCACAGUUUUAAUCUUGCUAUGUUAGCAAAACAUUGUUGGCGACUAAUCUAG